UUGGCCCCAGUAACGGCGAAUGGAACGGCAACAGCUCAAAUUUGAAAUCUGGCUCCUAGAGUCCGAGUUGUAAUUUGUAGAGGAUGCUUUUGAUGCGGUGCCUUCCGAGUUCCCUGGAACGGGACGCCAUAGAGGGUGAGAGCCCCGUCUGGUCGGAUGCCAAAUCUCUGUAAAGCUCCUUCGACGAGUCGAGUAGUUUGGGAAUGCUGCUCAAAAUGGGAGGUAUAUGUCUUCUAAAGCUAAAUAUUGGCCAGAGACCGAUAGCGCACAAGUAGAGUGAUCGAAAGAUGAAAAGCACUUUGAAAAGAGGGUUAAACAGUACGUGAAAUUGUUGAAAGGGAAGCGCCUAUGACCAGACUUGGGCCCGGUGAAUCAUCCAGCGUUCUCGCUGGUGCACUUUGCCGGGCACAGGCCAGCAUCAGUUUGUCUUGGGGGAAAAAGGCUUUGGGAACGUGGCUCCCUCGGGAGUGUUAUAGACCAUUGCAUAAUACCCUGGGACGGACUGAGGUUCGCGCAUCUGCAAGGAUGCUGGCGUAAUGGUCAUCAGCGACCCGUCUUGAAACACGGACCAAGGAGUCGUCUUCGUAUGCGAGUGUUCGGGUGUAAAACCCCUACGCGUAAUGAAAGUGAACGCAGGUGAGAGCUUCGGCGCAUCAUCGACCGAUCCUGAUGUUCUCGGAUGGAUUUGAGUAAGAGCAUACGGGGCCGGACCCGAAAGAAGGUGAACUAUUCCUGUAUAGGGUGAAGCCAGAGGAAACUCUGGUGGAGGCUCGCAGCGGUUCUGACGUGCGAAUCGAUCGUCAAAUAUGGGAAUGGGGGCGAAAGACUAAUCGA
rnacentral:rRNA from 1 species